CAGUAGCCACGGUAAUACGGAGGGUGCAAGCGUUAUCCGGAUUUAUUGGGUUUAAAGGGUCCGUAGGCGGAUCUGUAAGUCAGUGGUGAAAUCUCACAGCUUAACUGUGAAACUGCCAUUGAUACUGCAGGUCUUGAGUAAAUUUGAAGUGGCUGGAAUAAGUAGUGUAGCGGUGAAAUGCAUAGAUAUUACUUAGAACACCAAUUGCGAAGGCAGGUCACUAAGAUUUAACUGACGCUGAUGGACGAAAGCGUGGGGAGCAAACAGGAUUAGAUACCCCAGUAGUCCCUGUCUCUUAUAC
rnacentral:rRNA from 1 species